CUCUAUCCGUAAAACGUAUCCACACAAAUUUUCACUUUAUCACUCUCAAAAAAAUCGUCCUACUCUCAAAUAAAAAAACCACCGUUUCCUUGCGAUCAAGCCACCGUCCUUGCAAUCGAUGCUCAAUCGAACUCUCAAAGAAUCCCGUCGAAGCUCAAUCGAACUCUCUAUUUUCCUCCGGCGCAUAGAAGAAGGAAGUUGUAUCUGAGUUAGUUGCUAGUGGUGAAAUGGUUCUUUGUGUUGCUCAUUGGCAUUUACCACGCUGUUUAUCGUUUAACCACUCGUCGUCAUACUCGCCGUCACAGUGAAGUGAAGCUUUAUGAAUUGGUUUGGCGCUCGUCUGGUUUGUGAGAAGCUGUGCACCGCGUUGUCGUGCAUAAUGAUUCGGUAGUUGGGACUGUUUUCUCUAUGCAUAUAUUUGUUUUACAUAAUUUAGGGGUUUCACCUAUAUUUGAUUUGUGUAAGGGACGAGGGUUAUAUGUGUAUGUCUUUGUAAUUGUGCGACUUCUCCAUCUGAAUGUGAUCUUUUGCAAGCUAAUAAACUAUCAUUGUUUUAUGUUUUGCUUUUCUGUUAUUUGUUUCAUACAAAUCAUGGCCUUGCUUCCGAAACUCCCUCUUGUACCCUAGUUACUCCAGACAGGUAAUGUAAAGAAAAAUUAUGUAAUCACCUUCUCACGUGACUUACAAAUUUAUGAAUUCUCUCCUUGUAAGUUUGUACAGGGUAAGUUUCUAGCUUUUAUGUUCAUAUUUGUUUGGAACCACUCAUUAUGGAGCUUAUUCAAAAUGGCUUGAUACAACACCAUGUGGACUGUGUAUUCCGUUAUGGCAUGAUGUUUAGAUGCAAGGUUGAUUGAGAUCUCGGUUGUAGUUGAGGCUCCAUCUCAUCAAUCUUAUCAUGUGAGAAGUUGGCAAAUUCACAAAAUUGAAGUUUUCAUUUAUAACUAAGGGAAGCAUUAGUUGCCAAUGUGGUAGUAAAUUCUGCAGGAACAUGAAGUGCCCAGAUAGUAAGUUUAAUCUUCCAUUUGUAUGUAAUUUGCAUAAGUUUGAAAGUAUACUUGUGAGGGUUAUAAAUUAAAUUUUGUAUCUGUUAGCUUUU